rnacentral:rRNA from 1 species
UACAGAGGUCCCGAGCGUUGUUCGGAUUCACUGGGCGUAAAGGGUGCGUAGGCGGCGCGGUAAGUCGGGUGUGAAAUCUCGGGGCUUAACUCCGAAACUGCAUUCGAUACUGCCGUGCUUGAGGACUGGAGAGGAGACUGGAAUUUACGGUGUAGCGGUGAAAUGCGUAGAUAUCGUAAGGAAGACCAGUGGCGAAGGCGGGUCUCUGGACAGUUCCUGACGCUGAGGCACGAAGGCCAGGGGAGCAAACGGG